rnacentral:rRNA from 1 species
UACGAAGGGGGCUAGCGUUGCUCGGAAUCACUGGGCGUAAAGCGCACGUAGGCGGACUGUUAAGUCAGGGGUGAAAUCCUGGAGCUCAACUCCAGAACUGCCUUUGAUACUGGGAGUCUUGAGUUCGGGAGAGGUGAGUGGAACUGCGAGUGUAGAGGUGAAAUUCGUAGAUAUUCGCAAGAACACCAGUGGCGAAGGCGGCUCACUGGCCCGAUACUGACGCUGAGGUGCGAAAGCGUGGGGAGCAAACAGG